GAACAGAGCGCCUGGCACAUGAUUCCACUCACUCAGAGACUGCAGCGAGAGUAGUGAUUCCACAAUAGUUUUUCACGCGUGAACGACCUUACGAGCCCCUACACCUAUGGGUAUCAUCGGCAUCCUCCGCCCGGCCAUCCUGCUCCUCGCCGGCCUCGCGUGGUGUAGUGAGCUCGUCGCCGCCGCCGGCAGGGUGGACGGCGUGUUCAACGUCAAGGAGUACGGUGCUCGAGGCGACGGCACCACGGACGACACCAAGGCGUUCGUGGACGCAUGGACCGCGGCGUGUCGCGCCAGGGGCUCGCCGGCGACGCUGCUCGUGCCGGCGGCCAACUCCUUCAUCGUCGGCCCCACCAGGUUCAGCGGGCCCUGCGCCUCCACCAGAAUUACCGUCCAGGUCAUGGGCACGAUUACGGCGCCGCCGGCGGGCGCAUGGAGAGAACUGGAAUAUUGGCUGAUGUUCUACCAGGUUCACGGGCUCACGGUUACCGGCGGCAGCACCGGCUUGCUCGACGGCAGAGGCGGGACGUGGUGGAGGAAGAAAUGCAAAGACCAUGCUGACUGUAUAUCUCGUGCACCGACGGGCUUGGUGGUCAUGAACUGCAUCGACGUGGAGCUGAGCCAAUUCCACAGCAAGGACAGCCCGCAGAUGCACAUCGCCGUCAGCAUGAGCAGCAACGUCAAUGUGGCGCAGCUGACCAUCACCGCGCCCUGGGACAGCCCCAACACCGACGGCGUGCACAUCGACCGGAGUGAUCACGUCCGCGUCACCGGAUCAACCAUCGGCACCGGCGACGACUGCGUCUCCAUCGGCUCCGGGACCCGAUUCGUUACCGUCGACGGAAUCGUCUGCGGCCCCGGCCAUGGUGUAAGUGUGGGGAGCCUGGGCAAGAAAGGAGCGGCUGUAUCCGUGGAGUACAUCGACGUGAGAAAUGUCCAGUUCAUCAACACGAUGAAUGGGGCAAGGAUCAAGACGUGGCAGGGUGGGAAAGGCUACGCGAAAUCCAUCUCGUUCACCGACAUAAACUUCACCAACGUGGAACAUCCUGUGGUCAUCAACCAGUUCUACGUAGACCGCCACCAUGUCCCAAACAAUAUGGGGGCGGUGGCGCUGAGCAACAUAACGUACACGAACCUGAGCGGGACUUCGAGGCGGAAGACGGCCGUCGAGUUCGACUGCAGUGAGAGCGGCAGCUGCACGAACAUCCACGUCAACUCCGUGGCGAUCACGGCGGCGGACGGCGGAGGAACCGUGGCCCGUUGCCGGAACGUGCAAGGGGACACCUCCGGAUACGUCUACCCCAAGAUCCCUUGCCUUCGAUAACAAUAACGUCCAGCACAGGGUUUAGAAGUGCUCUUGGUUUUGGGUGGCUGUUUGUAUGGGCGCCUUUUGGUUUGCUGCAUGAAUUUUAGACCGCAUGCAUCUCCGGCCCGGUUGAACCUGACUGAGCAAACACAUGCAAUAAAUCAUGUUUUUCACUGUGUUUUUUAAACGGAGUCAAAACU